ACGCUCGACACCUACGGGAGGCGGCAGUGGGGAAUAUUGCACAAUGGGGGAAACCCUGAUGCAGCGACGCCGCGUGAAGGAAGAAGUAUUUCGGUAUGUAAACUUCUAUCAGCAGGGAAGAAAAUGACGGUACCUGAGUAAGAAGCACCGGCUAAAUACGUGCUAGCAGCCGCGGUAAUCUGAGCGGGCUGGCAAGGC
rnacentral:rRNA from 1 species